UGCAAAGAUUGGGAUUAAAGGAAAGCAAGAGAAUUGGACUCUGGAAAUCAGAGGCCAUGAACUGAGGGGAGAAAUGGGCUGUUGGGGGCAGGGAGCAUAACAGAGCAGCCACCCGUGACAUAUGGCUCAAUGAUGGGCAGGAUUGAUAUUCCUAGUUGAAGGGUUCUUGGGCGAGGUAGGUGGGUGGCAAGGGCUUGGAGAGGUGGAGAUCCAGCAAACAGGAAAGACUUACAACUGUGAAGAGAGGUAAUAUACAGAGAAAAUCGACGAAUGUUGCCACUAGGUCAAAUUAAGAAAUCAAAGAGGGUCAAUCAGACAUCCAGGCAUAUUCGUAGGCCAUUUAACACUGAGGCAGCGAUAGAAGAACAGGCAUGUUGACACAUUAAAGAGAACUUUUUAAUAAUCAGUACAUAGUAGACAGUCAUUAAUAGAGCAAAGCAGAUGAUUGAUCUCAAGAUGAUUACUCCCUAAAGUUACGAAAGCACAAGUAACAUUUCUGAUGAGAUUUCUGCUCAAGAGAAAACUGAACAUAAGACCAGUUCAACAUAGCACAUGAUAAAGCUGGUUCCAUUAUUACCAUUUCCCAUUGUGUUUAUGCUUCAUUUGAAUGUGAGUGAAGAAACAAUCACAAUGUUUCACGUGCCACUGACAAAGUUUCUUCAGUUCCUCCUUCACUGCUCGAAGUGUUUGGUAAUGAGAAGUGAAAUUGUGCUUUAUUCAGUUACUUUUAAUAAACUUAUCAAACUAAAACUCUCUGAAGUGUAGAUUUACAAUAUGCCUGUUGGAUGCUUUCUGGGAUACUGUGCUUGGCAAAAAGAGAACUUCAUUCCUCCAUCCUCUCUUGUGUGGGGGUGCAAGCUCCCACAUUUCUUUCUAAUCUCUUCAAAUAAUUACUGAUUAGUACUGAAAAGCUGCUUUGACCUUUUUCGCAAUAAUCCAUUUGGAAUUAGAAUUUUUGGCACAGGCACCAGGAUACAGUGAAAAGCAAGACUUGCAUAUUGUUGAUACAGAUCAAAUCAUUACAAAGUGCAUUGAAGUAGAUCAAUGUAAAACAGCAACAAAUCAGAAUAAAGUGUAUCAGCUACAGAGAAAGCACAGUGUAAGUAAACAAUCAGGUGCAAGAUUAUAACAAGGUGAUGAAGCGAAGGGAAGAAUGUGCCAUGAACGGGUAACAAUCAGAUUAUUGGAUGAGACCUAAUGACAGUUUGAACGAACUCGUAUUUAGGAGAUAUUUGGUUCUGACGGGGGCCUCACGAUUCUCUUUGAUUGGCUUUAUCUACUUGAAGAUCUAAGUACCACGUUCUUCUGCACAGAGGCACAGAGGUCGGGUUUUAUGUAGAUUCAGUACUGUAAGUACACUUCCUGAAGCCUGUGAUGUAUUUCAGUAAACAUGUGUGCAAAAACACCUGUGUGCAUGCACACACAUACAAUUCCGAUUGAAGUUAGAGACAGAAUUGGAUGCACAUCAGCUCUGGUAGGGUUUGCAGGCCAUUAAUUCCUACAAAGUAAAACCUAGCAUUAUGAAUGGCUGUGAUGCUUCACUCCCAGAUGAGCUUCAUGUCUUUUCUGUGUUAUGAGUGAUGGACAGACCUGAUGGGCAAUGGGGUGCAGAGUUAACCAUUCCCAACCCCCCUCCUGAGAACUACGAACUAUUGCUGUUGCUAUGUUGCUCAUGAGAGAGAGAGAGAUAAAGUCCAGGCAAGAACAUUUGCUACAGAUAAGAGGGGGAGAGAGACUGUUGAUUUAUUGUAUUAUGACUCUUCCUGGAUUAUUUACCUUCCACUACAAGGACUUUACUUUGCUCGUUAGCAUUCCUCAGGAGAUAGCAGGAGUGGCCUGAUUUGAUGGACACAGUCAUUCAGAGUUGAUGGUUAGCUGAGACCCCGUGAGUGGGGAUAAAAAGACAGGUCUGGAGAGACACCCUUCAGACACACCAAUGGACACUGACUGAGUGUUGGGAACCCACAGAAAGGUGGGGGCUUCAGAGACCGAACCAGGAGAUCGGUCAGUAAAGCUCACAGUGUUACAGCAGGGCCGGUGAGGACUUGUGUGUGUGUCCACUCAUGCCAGAGUGAUGAGUCCACCACAGAAGAACGGUCCAGCUGAAGACCAGAGGGGUCAUAAAUGAAUGGACACAACGAUACGACGGAUUAAGAAAGCCACAAAAGGUUUGCCUGCCACAGCUGUUGCUGUUACAUUUCGCUCGCUCUCUCUCUCUCUCUCUCUCCAAUGAUUUCAACACAACAGCCAUAACCACUUCAGCAUUUAUGAACUGAACUCUAUACUUUCCCAUGACAAUUAAUUUACCCCUAGACAUCGAUAGAGCUUGUUUAUUAUUGAUUAUUAUUAUUAUUCCUACACUUUUAGGUUUAUUACUGCAAACUUGUUUUGUAUGUAUAUUUGCAUUUUUGAUAUUGUAUUGUGUAGUUUACUAAUAAACACCUUUAGUUUUGGUACCACCAGACUCCAACAGAUUCUUCUUUCUCUGCUGGUCAGACACCCAGUUAUGGGGUACGUAACAUCUGCAUGCUUUGAAAUGGAGAUUAAAACUAUACCUGAGCAGAAACUACUCCCUGCAGCAUGCGGCGACUCUAUGAUCUCUGCCUCAGACUAUCUUUCAAGAGGGAAAACCCUCGCAAGGUGUCAGGCCCUGACGGUAUAUCUGGUAGGCCAGUGCAAACCUGUGCCAGCCAACUGGCGGGAGUAUGAAAGUAUUUCCUUAGUCUCUCACUGGGAGACACGGUCAGUGCGGAUCAGAAAUAACAUCUCCCCCUUGCUGACAAUCAACACUGGAUGCACACUUAGCCCACUGCCUUACUCUCUCUACACUGACGACUGUGCAGUUAGGAACAGCUCUAACACCAUCCAUAAAUUUGCUGAUAACACUAUUGUUGGCAGAAUUUCAGAUGACGAUGAGGAGGCGUACGUGAGUGAGAUAGAACAGCUGGUUAAGUGGUGUCGCAACAACAAUCUUGCUCUGAACGUCAGUAAAACCAAAGAAUUGGUUGUGGACUUCAGGAAGGAGAAGCUGAGGGGCGCACACGGCGGUGGAAAGGGUGAGCAGUUUCAAGUUCCUGUGUGUCAUCAUCUGUGAAGGUCAAUCCUGGGUCAACAUAUUGAUGCAAUUACAAAGAAGGCAUGACAAUGGCUACAUCCUAUUAGGAGUUUGAAGAGUCUUGGUGUGACACCAAUGACCCUUGCAAAUUUCUAUAGAUAUACUGUGGAGAGCUUUCUAACUGGUAUGGAGGGGCCGCUGCACAGAACUGGGAAAAAAGCUCCAGAAAGUUGUAAGCUCAGCCAGCUCCAUUAUGGGCAUGGGCAUCCCACCAUCAAGGACACCUUCAAAAGAUAGUGCCUGUAAGGGUGGCACCCAUUGUUAAGGACCCCCAUCACCCAGGCCAAACUGCUAUCAAGAAGUUCAUACAGGAGCCUGAAGAUGUUUCAGGAACAGCUUCUUCCCCCCCUCUGCUGCAGAUGUUCUGAAUAGACAAUAAACCU